rnacentral:tmRNA from 1 species
GGGGAUGUCUUGGUUUCGACAGGGAUAUUGAAGUUUGAAUAGCGAGUCGUUUUCGUCUAUAAACGUAAAAAAAGGACAACUAAAUAUAAACGCUGAAGAUAAUAACUUCGCAUUAGCUGCCUAAUAACGGC